rnacentral:misc_RNA from 1 species
GAUGAAGAACGUAGCGAAAUGCGAUAAGUAAUGUGAAUUGUAGAAUUCAGUGAAUCAUCGAAUCUUUGAACGCACAUUGCGCCCGCCAGUAUUCUGGCGGGCAUGCCUGUUCGAGCGUCAUUUCAACCCUCAGGCCCCCAGUGCCUGGUGUUGGGGAUCGGCCCAGCCUUCCUGUAAGGCCGCCGGCCCCGAAAUCUAGUGGCGGUCUCGCUGUAGUCCUCCUCUGCGUAGUAGCACAACCUCGCAGUUGGAACGCGGCGGUGGCCAUGCCGUUAAACACCCCACUUCUGAAAGUUGACCUCGGAUCAGGUAGGAAUACCCGCUGAACUUAAGCAUAUCAAUAAGCGGAGGA